CAGUAGCCGCGGGAAUACGGAGGGGGCUAGCGUUGUUCGGAAUUACUGGGCGUAAAGCGCACGUAGGCGGCUUGGUAAGUUAGAGGUGAAAGCCCGGAGCUCAACUCCGGAAUUGCCUUUAAGACUGCCGAGCUAGUAGGUGAGAGAGGUAAGUGGAAUUCCGAGUGUAGAGGUGAAAUUCGUAGAUAUUCGGAAGUACACCAGUGGCGAAGGCGGCUUACUGGCUCAUUCUAGACGCUGAGGUGCGAAAGCGUGGGGAGCAAACAGGAUUAGAUACCCCAGUAGUCCCUGUCUCUUAUAC
rnacentral:rRNA from 1 species